CCCUUAGAUGUUCUGGGCCGCACGCGCGCUACACUGAUGCAUUCAACGAGUCUAAAACCUGCUCUGAUAGGGGUGGGUAAUCUUUUGAAUGUGCAUCGUGAUUGGGAUAGAUGAUUGCAAUUUUUCAUCUUCAACGAGGAAUGCCUAGUAAACGCAAGUCAUCAGCUUGCAUUGAUUACGUCCCUGCCCUUUGUACACACCGUCCGUCGCUCCUACCGAUUGAAUGAUCCGAUGAAUAUCAUGGAUUGAGGAUGCAAGUAGGUUAGCCUAUCUUCAUCUUCGAGAAGUGAAGUAAAUCUUAUCAUUUAGAGGAAGGAGAAGUCGUAACA
rnacentral:rRNA from 1 species